AAAAACCAAGUUCAUAUAAACAUUAGCACCAUACUCUCAUUCAGUAUUCUGUGUUAUGAUCUGGGCUGCAUGAUCUGGUGCAGCACCUCCAGUGAUACAGGGUAAAAGAGGUUAGAGGUCAGGGUUACCUGGUGUAGGACCUACAGUGAUACAGGGUAGAAGAGGUUAGAGGUCAGGGUUACCUGGUGUAGGACCUCCAGUGAUACAGGGUAGAAGAGGUUAGAGGUCAGGGUUACCUGGUGUAGGACCUCCAGUGAUACAGGGUAGAAGAGGUUAGAGGUUAGAGGUCAGGGUUACCUGGUGUAGGACCUCCAGUGAUACAGGGUAGAAGAGGUUAGAGGUCAGGUUUCCUGGUGUAGGACCUCCAGUGAUACAGGGUAGAAGAGGUUAGAGGUUAGAGGUCAGGGUUACCUGGUGUAGGACCUCCAGUGAUACAGGGUAGAAGAGGUUAGAGGUUAGAGGUCAGGGUUACCUGGUGUAGGACCUCCAGUGAUACAGGGUAGAAGAGGUUAGAGGUUAGAGGUCAGGGUUACCUGGUGUAGGACCUCCAGUGAUACAGGGUAGAAGAGGUUAGAGG